GAUGAACGCUGGCGGCGUGCCUAAUACAUGCAAGUCGAGCGAACAGACGAGGAGCUUGCUCCUCUGACGUUAGCGGCGGACGGGUGAGUAACACGUGGAUAACCUACCUAUAAGACUGGGAUAACUUCGGGAAACCGGAGCUAAUACCGGAUAAUAUAUUGAACCGCAUGGUUCAAUAGUGAAAGAUGGCUUUGCUGUCACUUAUAGAUGGAUCCGCGCCGCAUUAGCUAGUUGGUAAGGUAACGGCUUACCAAGGCAACGAUGCGUAGCCGACCUGAGAGGGUGAUCGGCCACACUGGAACUGAGACACGGUCCAGACUCCUACGGGAGGCAGCAGUAGGGAAUCUUCCGCAAUGGGCGAAAGCUUGACGGAGCAACGCCGCGUGAGUGAUGAAGGUCUUCGGAUCGUAAAACUCUGUUAUUAGGGAAGAACAAAUGUGUAAGUAACUGUGCACGUCUUGACGGUACCUAAUCAGAAAGCCACGGCUAACUACGUG
rnacentral:rRNA from 1 species